UGUACAGACCGUUGUGUUUUUCUGUGUGUGUGUCUACAGGAGGUCCUGCUCCACCCAAACCAUCUUCUUCUGCUCCUCCAGUAUCCGGUCUUUGAUGACCUUCAAGAGGUCGUCUGUCCCUGUCCAGGACUCAGGCUCCAGGCUGGCGUACAGGCAGGGAAUGCCCUCCAGCUCCUUCUCUUUUGCCCGACACAUCUUCACAAACUCAUCCUCCUCCACGCGCAGAGGCAACUUCCUGUGUGGACAGGAAACAGGAAGGAAGCAACGCUGCAGUGAUCUUGACAUAGAUGAUGAUUGGGUAGAUUUCUCUCCGCAGAAGGUCUUUGAUGCAGCUCAGCUCAGCCUCCAGCAGGCAGUGCUUGCCCUGGUGACCGCUGUAUGGUGAUGGUGUCCAUUCGGUUGCGAUACAUCUCACAGUCCUUCUGCAGUGUGGAGGACUUCAGCUCGAGAUCCUCUUUCUCCUCCAGUUCCUCUGCUUGUCUGACUUCUUCACGGAGGUUGUAGAGGCGGUUGACCAGAUCCUGUCUAUCUUCCAGUGCUUCCUGUCUGUCAUGUUCCAAAAUGUCAAGGAUGGCCUUGUCUGAUGCAGGCCUGAAGCUCCUGAUUGGCCAGCCGUAGCUUCUUCUGCUCGUCCUCCAGGGUGCAGUUCUUCCUGCUGAGCUCAACGUGCUGCAGGGUCUUGACUUUAGACUGCUGCUGCAGCUUCAUGACUUCGUUCAUCAGGAACUGGGUCAGACCCUCGUGACCCUCCUCCACUGCAGUGAAGAACCGGCAGCAGGUGGAGAGGAGAGGCGGAGAAAAAUAACACAUUACAGUAUAAUAUAUUCUCCAUAUAAUGCACCAUCUACUCUACCUAGUGUGACAGGAUUGCAUUGUAAGAUGAUUUAGAUAAAUUCUCACCUCAACCAGCACAACAGGAUCUAUGAAAAUUGUUGUAGGGUUAGACUGUGUUACUGUACAGCUGGCAAUUAAAUGGGUUUCUUUUAAUGUAA